rnacentral:rRNA from 1 species
UGGGGAAUAUUGGACAAUGGGCGCAAGCCUGAUCCAGCCAUGCCGCGUGAGUGAUGAAGGCCCUAGGGUUGUAAAGCUCUUUUGUGCGGGAAGAUAAUGACGGUACCGCAAGAAUAAGCCCCGGCUAACUCCGUGCCAGCAGCCGCGGUAAUACGGAGGGGGCUAGCGUUGUUCGGAAUUACUGGGCGUAAAGCGCACGUAGGCGGCUUUGUAAGUUAGAGGUGAAAGCCCAGGGCUCAACCCUGGAAUUGCCUUUAAGACUGCAUCGCUUGAACAUCGGAGAGGUAAGUGGAAUUCCGAGUGUAGAGGUGAAAUUCGUAGAUAUUCGGAAGAACACCAGUGGCGAAGGCGACUUACUGGACGAUUGUUGACGCUGAGGUGCGAAAGCGUGGGGAGCAAACAGGAUUAGAUACCC